rnacentral:lncRNA from 1 species
AUGAAUUUCUAUUCUUAACUCCAUUAAAUUUGGGAUAUUAUUGCAGAAACAAGCGGAUGUGAACUCGUUGCUUUUGUUGUUGGGAUUGCUGUGCCAUCUACUACCGUUGAUGUUCACAUUUGUGGGAAAAACACCUGAGAUUGCAGCAGUUGGGACGCUUCAAUUGUCGAGAGCAAGUUGCUUUAUUAUGCUCCUUGCAUAUAUCGCUUAUCUCGUCUUUCAGUUAUGGACUCACCGAGAAUUAUUUGAGGCACAAGAGGUUAGUAAUAUAAUUCUUUUCUUUUAAAAUAAAUAAAUUCGAAUUUAACCUAAAGUGUUUAUAUAAUGUGUGUGCAAGAUUGAGUAAAAGAAGAAAUAGGUAGAUAUAUACAGGGAGUUAGCCUGUCCUAUUCAAAUGUGCAAAAAUCAAACUAUUUUAGCUAGAUCAGAAAUAAUUAUAAGAAGCAUACAUCGCUUAAUUAGAAUUAUUUACUUACCUAAAGAUUAGAAAAUGAUGCCAAUGAAGCUUAACUCAAGCAGCAAAGUUGAGGUAAUUUUUCCACACAAGUGGUCCCGCCUACGUGCGGGUAGUAUUCCCACCUACUUUUGUGUGGUGCAGAUGUCCCAAAAUAUAAUGCAAUUUCUUAAUUGAAGUUGUAUUUAAAUAUUUAAUACUAAAAUAACCUUACUCAUUAUUUGUGAAAUAAUUUGUAGAAUAGUAAAUAAGGGUAAACCAGAAUAAUUAUAUAAUAAAUUUUAUCAUUUUCUAAAUUUUUGUGAAAAUUGAAGGGAGACUAAUUUCAUGGGACAUAGGAGAAUCUUAUAUACAGGUGUCUUUCGUGGUCCUUCUAAUUUUGUGGAUUUAAACUAAUAUUUCUUUCCAAUAAAAUGCAUCAUUAUUAUUGAGGACACCAAAAUAUUUGAACUUAAUCUAACUAACGUAGUUAAUUAAUGAAGGCAAAAUUCAUUGCAUUUAUAUGUAAUUCGUGAUCGUGAAGAAAUUAAUACUAUACCUUUGUCGCAAAAACUAAAUUAAUGCUUGCUUAAUUAACAUUUUCUUUGUAUUCAUUAUAAAAUUUGUAACACAAAUUUCGUGUAUUGAAAAAAUAUCUUGUGUAUGAUGCUAGGACGAAGAUGGUGACGUGGCAGGAGACGACGAAACUCCGGUCAUCGGAUUCUGGAGCGCAUUCAUUUGGCUAGUUCUGAUGACCGGCGUCGUAGCUCUACUCUCAGAAUAUGUUGUUGCAACAAUUGAAGUGAGUUAAUUUAUACCAAUUAAUUCAUCAAAUUAAAAUAUACUUUACGAAAUUGCAAAUCCUCAAUAAUUACAUAUAUUUGUUGGAUUAAUUCCAGGCUGCAUCUGAGUCUUGGGGUUUGUCCGUGAGCUUUAUUAGUGUGAUUCUACUACCAAUAGUUGGAAAUGCAGCAGAACAUGCUGGAGCAAUUAUUUUUGCUUUCAAGAACAAAUUGGUAAUUAGUUGUUAAUUAAUUAAUUUUAUUUUUACCUCUUUUCGAUAGGUUUUAUUUUUCGAUUACACGAUUAUUAUAUUGUCUGACAUCUCAUGUAUUUUCUCGAAUAAUUAGGACAUAACUCUAGGUGUCGCCCUAGGAUCGGCCACUCAAAUUGCCAUGUUCGUGGUAAGAUUAUCGAUAUUCAAUUAAAUUCCAUUUACAUAUAGUUAGUAGUGAUGAUUAAUUUUUAUUUAUUUUGUAUUCCAUAAUUACUUCAAAGCUCUUAAUAUUAUUUUUCUUGAAAACUAUUCAGGUCCCAUUAACUGUGCUUGUGUCAUGGAUAAUCGGCAUCGACAUGGAUCUUAAUUUUAACCUACUUGAGACAGGCUCUCUAGCGUUGUCAAUUUUAUUAACAGCUAUAACUUUGCAGGUAAAAUAAUUAAAUUAAUUUAAAUUUCAAAUACAUUAUAUGUAUAUACACACACAUAACAAAUUCUUGAAAUUUGCAGGAUGGAACAUCUCAUUAUAUGAAGGGACUAGUUCUUCUACUAAGCUACUUCAUCAUUUCAGCUUGCUUCUUUGUAUAUCAAUCUCCACUUAGUAAGAACAAAACUCUAAUUAAUUUAUUUCAUUAAAUUUACAGCCAAUUAAUGGCCAUGAAAACUUAAUUAAUUGUAAUAUUUAUCUUUUUAUUUCAGAUGGAGCUGACUCUAACAACAUGGGGCUCGUCACCUCUCCUGAACAAGGAAUAAUGAGACUUUGAAUUAUAGGUAUGUAUAUAUAGUUAGUGAUAAGUACAUNGGUUGUCUUUCUAGUCAAAUCCAAACAUUUUUUAUUAUUUUUAUUGGAUGAUAUUCUCUUAAGAAACAUAUCAAGGCUUCUGCCUAACUGGUUCUAGAGCCACGAUGCAAUAUACCCUCUGAAUUAGGCAAUUAAUAUUUUAUUUUAUUCUUUUGAAAUCAAUGAGGCAGUACUUUAACUAAAUUAUGAAAUCUCUGAAUUUGGAAUGAUAUCUUGUUAAGAAAAUACUAUAAAAUGUUUUAACUUACGUGUCAGGCAUUCCAUUCACGUAUCGAGUUGGUCUACUCAUUAAUUAAGUUAACCAAAUCAUGCCUCUACGUAGAGCCAAUUGAUUUACAUGAGGAUAAUAAUUUCCUAAUCCGAGCAUUAAAAAAAAUACAAUUAUUAGUACGUAUUUUUUAGUGUAAUUGUUUGGAAUAUUUUGAAUAUAAUUAAAAAAAACAUUCACAAAUUCUUCUUAACGGACAUGGUUUAAUCACUUUACUUCACCAUAAUAUUUUGAUUCUCUCUUUUGCUCCCCUUAAACAUCGCAUCAAAUAAAAUAAAAUUACAAAGAUAAUUUCAAAUAACAAUUUAUUUUAUGGAUAUUUUUUUUCAGUUGGAGGGCUCCUAAACGCUACAUGUGGAAAUGCCACAGAAUUGAUAAUAGCAAUUCUUGCACUUGUCCAAAACAAAGUUGAUGUUGUGAAGUACUCUUUAUUGGGCUCUAUCCUCUCCAACCUUCUUCUAGUUCUUGGCACCUCUCUUCUUUGUGGAGGCAUUGUCAACAUCUCCAAAGAGCAAAAAUUCGACAGAGUAAGUAAUUUAACAUAAUUAAAAAAUAAAAAAUUAAUGAAUUUAUAUUCUUAAUUUCCAUUAAAUUUGGGAUAUUAUUGCAGAAACAAGCGGAUGUGAACUCGUUGCUUUUGUUGUUGGGAUUGUUGUGCCAUCUACUACCGCUGAUGUUCACAUUUGUGGGAAAAACACCUGAGAUUGCAGCAGUUGGGACGCUUCAAUUGUCGAGAGCAAGUUGCUUUAUUAUGCUCCUUGCAUAUAUCGCUUAUCUCGUCUUUCAGUUAUGGACUCACCGAGAAUUAUUUGAGGCACAAGAGGUUAGUAAUAUAAUU